rnacentral:rRNA from 1 species
AACUGCCUGAUGGAGGGGGAUAACUACUGGAAACGGUAGCUAAUACCGCAUAACGUCGCAAGACCAAAGUGGGGGACCUUCGGGCCUCAUGCCAUCAGAUGUGCCCAGAUGGGAUUAGCUAGUAGGUGAGGUAAUGGCUCACCUAGGCGACGAUCCCUAGCUGGUCUGAGAGGAUGACCAGCCACACUGGAACUGAGACACGGUCCAGACUCCUACGGGAGGCAGCAGUGGGGAAUAUUGCACAAUGGGCGCAAGCCUGAUGCAGCCAUGCCGCGUGUAUGAAGAAGGCCUUCGGGUUGUAAAGUACUUUCAGCGAGGAGGAAGGCAUUAAGGUUAAUAACCUUGUCGAUUGACGUUACUCGCAGAAGAAGCACCGGCUAACUCCGUGCCAGCAGCC